rnacentral:rRNA from 1 species
CACGUAGGGCGCAAGCGUUGUCCGGAAUUAUUGGGCGUAAAGAGCUCGUAGGCGGUCUGUUACGUCUGCUGUGAAAACCCGGGGCUUAACCCUGGGCUUGCAGUGGAUACGGGCAGACUAGAGGCAGGUAGGGGAGAAUGGAAUUCCCGGUGUAGCGGUGAAAUGCGCAGAUAUCGGGAAGAACACCCGUGGCGAAGGCGGCUCACUGGACAUGUAUUGACGCUGAGGUGCGAAAGCGUGGGGAGCAAACAGG